CCAGCUUCUGCCCAUUGAGGGUCUCAAGCAGAGAGCGUGAGAAGUUCUGCAGAUGUAUGUGGCGCACAGCCUCUACAGCCGCCGACUCCGACUCCUCUUCAGGCACCAGGCCUGGCCGUGGCCGCCUUCUCACCGACUCCAAGGCAGCACUUCCGGGCGCUUCUCUUUAUUUUUAUACAGUUUUAUUGAGAUAUAAUUUACAUGCUAUCCAGCCCAUCUAUUUCAAGUGUACCAUGCAAGGGGUUUGUAUAUAUUCACAGAGUUGUGUAUCCAUCACCAUCGUUUUAGAACAUUCAUCACUCCAGAAGAAACUACUACCCAUCAGCAGCCACUGCCCAUUUCCCUGAUCUGCCCCGCCCUAGGAAAUCCGUAAUCACUUUCAGUCUAUGGAUUUGCCUAUUCUAGACCAUUCAUAUAAAUGAAGUCACACAACACUGGGUCUUAUGUGACUGGCUUCUAUCAAAGUUUGCAAGGUUCAUUUAUGUUCAUGGUCAUCACUGAUCAGAGGCCUAACCCAAGGAGGGGGUCAUGUGCAGACCCAGCUGUGGGGAGGAAAGAUGCUGCAGAGGAGACGGAUGCCCACAGAGGCCCCUGAGUGGAUACAAUGCUCACUAAGUGGGCUGACCCCACAUUGGACACCGCUGCAUCCAUGUCCAUCACACAACACAGCUGCCGUUUCUUCUGCCUGCUUAUGGGAAAGUCCCCUCUUCUCCUCCGUUUUCUUCUCUUCCUGCCCUAUCACACCGUGCACUUCUCCCUUUCCUUAAAGAACCACCAUCAACUUUAGGAGGAGGGAAAGGGGUGGCUCUGGCAGGAAAAGCCAGAAUCCCCUCUAGCCAGCAGAGAGAGAGAGGAAUGGCUGCAUGUUUUCUCCCCCAGUCCAAGGCACUGGGUCUUGGCUGGGUUGAAGGUUCCAAGCUGCUCUCCUGCUGUGUCGGUGAGUUCUGGUCAACCUGCAACCUCCUGAUAUGGCCAUUGCAGUUCAUCGAGUCUUCAGGGACUCCCCAUGGCCUGGAGUACUUUGCCUUGCUUACACGGGAGAGGAGAAUGGAUUUAUAGAGAACAUCAUCUAAAUCCAACUUGACCAUUGUGUGGCCACACUUGCUAGAUUGCUAUAGUCUAAAUCUAGCAUUGUAGAAAGACGGGGGAGCUUGGAGCUGCACAAACCCAGGUCUGGAACUGGCUCCUUACCUUGGAAGGUGAAUGAUCCUGCCAGGACUCUUAGCCUCCCUGGGUCUCAAUUUCUUUAUCUGUUUCAUGGGAAUGAGGAUCUCUGCUGGGUGGUUGGGUGAUGUGGGGGCUGUGUGAAAACAGCUUGUCAAUACAAGCCAAAAUAGAAAUAUUUCUCCACAGAGUAUGAAGGUCAAAUGAGAGAAUACAUUUAAAUUAAAUGGAAAAUUAAAAUGGUAAAAAAUGCAAAGCUGUAUUGAAAGUUCCGAGCUUCUCUAUAAGGAGCUUUUUGACUAUGUAAGAAUCCUGUACUCGUUCCCCCUAAAUAUAAAAAAAAGUUGAAGGAGGCAGAAGGGAGAGUGAUGCACGAUGGGCAAGGACUUCACCUGCUGUUGCUGGCUUUGAGGAUGGAGGAAGGAGGCCACAAACCUAGAAGCUGGAGCCCCUAGAAGCUAGAAAAGGCAGGGACCCGAUUCUUUCCUUGAGCCUCCAGAAGGGACACAGCCCCGCCAGCACCUUGACUUUAGCCUGGUGAGAUCCUCUUAGGACUUUUGGCAAUCAGAACUAUAAGACAGAAAUGGAAGCCACUGAGUCUGUAGCUGUUUGUUGCAGCAGCAAUAGAAAACUAAUGCAGGGCCCAAGAAAUCACUGGUGAUGAGAUCGGGAAAGUGGGCUCAGGAGGUCUGGAUCUGUGAUGAGAUGGGGAAAGUGGGCUCAAGAGGUCUGGAUCUGUGGUGAGAUGGGGGAAGUGGGCUCAGGAGGUCUGGAUCUGUGAUGAGAUGGGGAAAGUGGGCUCAGGAGGUCUGGAUCUGUGAUGAGAUGGGGAAAGUGGGCUCAGGAGGUCUGGAUCUGUGAUGAGAUGGGGGAAGUGGGCUCAGGAGGUCUGGAUCUGUGAUGAGAUGGGGGAAGUGGGCUCAGGAGGUCUGGAUCUGUGAUGAGAUGGGGGAAGUGGGCUCAGGAGGUCUGGAUCUGUGAUGAGAUGGGGAAAGUGGGCUCAGGAGGUCUGGAUCUGUGAUGAGAUGGGGGAAGUGGGCUCAGGAGGUCUGGAUCUGUGAUGAGAUGGGGAAAGUGGGCUCAGGAGGUCUGGAUCUGUGAUGAGAUCGGGAAAGUGGGCUCAAGAGGUCUGGAUCUGUGGUGAGAUGGGGGAAGUGGGCUCAGGAGGUCUGGAUCUGUGAUGAGAUGGGGAAAGUGGGCUCAGGAGGUCUGGAUCUGUGAUGAGAUGGGGAAAGUGGGCUCAGGAGGUCUGGAUCUGGGGUGGGGAUCUGGAGUGGAAGGGGAAUUCAUUUGUUCAUUGUCUAUCCUUUUGUAUUGAUUGAAUUUUUUAUAUAUAUAUGUGAAUUUUCACAAUAAAAUUUUUUUCCAAAAUAAAAUAAACAAAAGGGGCUUUUUGCAACCCAAUUCCUAUCUAUGUCUGAGUCCACUUGUAUUGCAUGGGUCUUUCUGCUAACGUCCUUAUAUUUGGGUGACAAUCUGAAUGUCAGCGACCAAUCAGAGCAGAGGCAGACUUUGGAGUGGGCAGGGCAUCCUGAGGGCCCUGAUUCCUGCCAUGAGACGUAACCCUUUAGGUGCCAGACCAUGGGGAGGUCCAGGGGUUGCAG
rnacentral:lncRNA from 1 species